UUACCUACGGGGGGCUGCAGUGGGGAAUUUUGGACAAUGGGCGAAAGCCUGAUCCAGCCAUGCCGCGUGCAGGAUGAAGGCCUUCGGGUUGUAAACUGCUUUUGUACGGAACGAAAAGACUCUGGUUAAUACCUGGGGUCCAUGACGGUACCGUAAGAAUAAGCACCGGCUAACUACGUGCCAGCAGCCGCGGUAAUACGUAGGGUGCAAGCGUUAAUCGGAAUUACUGGGCGUAAAGCGUGCGCAGGCGGUUAGAUAAGACAGAUGUGAAAUCCCCGGGCUCAACCUGGGAACUGCAUUUGUGACUGUAUAGCUAGAGUACGGCAGAGGGGGAUGGAAUUCCGCGUGUAGCAGUGAAAUGCGUAGAUAUGCGGAGGAACACCGAUGGCGAAGGCAAUCCCCUGGGCCUGUACUGACGCUCAUGCACGAAAGCGUGGGGAGCAAACAGGAUUAGAUACCCUUGUAGUCCGU
rnacentral:rRNA from 1 species